rnacentral:rRNA from 1 species
UACGGGGGGGAGCAAGCGUUGUUCGGAUUUACUGGGCGUAAAGGCGCGUAGGCGGCCACCGCAAGUCGACUGUGAAAUCUCCGGGCUUAACCCGGAAAGGUCAGCCGAUACUGCGGGGCUAGAGUGCAGAAGGGGCAACUGGAAUUCUCGGUGUAGCGGUGAAAUGCGUAGAUAUCGAGAGGAACACCUGCGGCGAAGGCGGGUGCUGGGCUGACACUGACGCUGAGCGCGAAAGCUAGGGGAGCGAACGGG